GGAACAAGCUUCACUGCUAUCUAUCAGCUCAGAUAAGGAAAAGUUCCUUUCAGCCUGACACUGACAGCUUAAUGAAAUGGAGGCCGAGAUGCAUGCAAAUGAGAGAAAGACUGGUAAGCUUUUACAGGAGAUGGAGAAUAAGAGGAAAAUACUGGGAAGAACUUCCUAUUACAUACUCCAGAUAGAACUGUGAGCAGGAAGUACUCAAAAUCUCAUGAGGAAAGCAGAACUAUAUGGCAUUUUCAUGGACUUCAAAGACUUCUCUGUGCUGCUUAGCCUGGAAACAUACCAACACAAUGUUAUGGUUGGUAGUCACUGAUUGUCUUCAUUGAUGGCUGCUGUACAAAAUUCUUAUGUAACAGCUUUGAUUUUUCAAAGGAGUAUUGACUAUUUAGAAGAUGUAUGUAAUUAAAGUAUAUCUGUGGAAUACCUAGGAUAAUAAGAGCCUUAAAUAUUAAGUCUAAGGUCCAGGUAAUAUUUUAUUUUUCUUCAUAACUUCAUAAUUUCAAAUGUUAAGCUUUCAAAUCUGGUUUCCCCAAUUAUAAAGUGUAAAGAAUAAAAUAUGCCACUUACAC